rnacentral:rRNA from 1 species
UACGGAGGAUCCAAGCGUUAUCCGGAUUUAUUGGGUUUAAAGGGUGCGUAGGCGGUUUAUUAAGUCAGGGGUGAAAGACGGCAGCUUAACUGUCGCAGUGCCUUUGAUACUGAUGAACUUGAAUGUACUAGAAGUAGGCGGAAUGUGACAAGUAGCGGUGAAAUGCAUAGAUAUGUCACAGAACACCGAUUGCGAAGGCAGCUUACUAUGGUAUUAUUGACACUGAGGCACGAAAGCGUGGGGAUCAAACAGG